UACGUAGGGUGCAAGCGUUGUCCGGAAUUAUUGGGCGUAAAGGGCUCGUAGGCGGUCCAUCGCGUCGGGAGUGAAAAGCUGGGGCUUAACCCCAGUCCUGCUUCCGAUACGGGUGGACUAGAGGUAGGCAGGGGAGAACGGAAUUCCGGGUGUAGUGGUGAAAUGCGUAGAGAUCCGGAGGAACCCCAGAGGCGAAGGCGGCGCCCUGGCUCGUAACGUGACGCUCAGACACGACAGCAUGGGGAGCGAACGGG
rnacentral:rRNA from 1 species